AUGAACGCUGGCGGCGUGCCUCAUACAUGCAAGUCGAGCGAACAGACGAGGAGCUUGCUCCUCUGACGUUAGCGGCGGACGGGUGAGUAACACGUGGAUAACCUACCUAUAAGACUGGGAUAACUUCGGGAAACCGGAGCUAAUACCGGAUAACAUGUUGAACCGCAUGGUUUAACAGUGAAAGACGGUCUUGCUGUCACUUAUAGAUGGAUCCGCGCCGCAUUAGCUAGUUGGUAAGGUAACGGCUUACCAAGGCAACGAUGCGUAGCCGACCUGAGAGGGUGAUCGGCCACACUGGAACUGAGACACGGUCCAGACUCCUACGGGAGGCAGCAGUAGGGAAUCUUCCGCAAUGGGCGAAAGCCUGACGGAGCAACGCCGCGUGAGUGAAGAAGGUCUUCGGAUCGUAAAACUCUGUUAUUAGGGAAGAACAAAUGUGUAAGUAACUAUGCACGUCUUGACGGUACCUAAUCAGAAAGCCACGGCUAACUACGUG
rnacentral:rRNA from 1 species